CCUACGGGUGGCUGCAGUGAGGAAUAUUGGUCAAUGGGCGUAAGCCUGAACCAGCCACGUCGCGUGAGGGAUGAAGGUUCUAUGGAUCGUAAACCUCUUUUAUAAGGGGAUAACGUGCGGGACGUGUCCCGUUUUGUAUGUACCUUAUGAAUAAGGAUCGGCUAACUCCGUGCCAGCAGCCGCGGUAAUACGGAGGAUCCGCGCGUUAUCCGGAUUUAUUGGGUUUAAAGGGUGCGUAGGCGGCCUUUUAAGUCAGGGGUGAAAGGCUGUGGCUCAACCACAGAAUUGCCUUUGAUACUGGGGGGCUUGAGUAUGUUUGAGGUAGGCGGAAUGCGUGGUGUAGCGGUGAAAUGCUUAGAUAUCAUGCAGAACCCCGAUUGCGAAGGCAGCUUGCCAAGCUAUGACUGACGCUGAGGCACGAAAGCGUGGGGAGCAAACAGGAUUAGAUACCCGUGUAGUC
rnacentral:rRNA from 1 species